AAACCAACCGGGAUUGCCUUAGUAACGGCGAGUGAAGCGGCAAGAGCUCAAAUUUGAAAUCGGCCACCAGGUCGAGUUGUAAUUUGUAGAACGUACCUUGGACAAAAUACAAGUCUGUUGGAACACAGCGCCUUAGAGGGUGAGAGCCCCGUAUAAAUGUCUGCUGUAAGGUGCGUUCAAAGAGUCGAGUUGUUUGGGAAUGCAGCUCUAAGUGGGAGGUAAAUUCCUUCUAAAGCUAAAUAUUGGCGAGAGACCGAUAGCGAACAAGUACAGUGAUGGAAAGAUGAAAAGAACUUUGAAAAGAGAGUGAAAAAGUACGUGAAAUUGUUAAAAGGGAAGGGUACUACAUCAGACGUGGGCGUGCAGUUCAGCAAUACUUUGGUACUGUGUACUCUGCGCGUCUAGGCCAAGAUGGGAUUGUUGGGCAGGAAAAAGCUUGUGGAAUGUGGCUCCUCGGAGUGUUAUAACCACUUGUAAUACUGCCUCGACAGUCCCAGGACUGCGCUUCGGCUAGGAUCUUGGCGUAAUGAUGCUGUACCGC
rnacentral:rRNA from 1 species